rnacentral:rRNA from 1 species
GUGGGGAAUAUUGCGCAAUGGGCGAAAGCCUGACGCAGCGACGCCGCGUGAGGGACGACGGCCUUCGGGUUGUAAACCUCUUUCAGCAGGGAUGAAGCGAAAGUGACAGUACCUGCAGAAGAAGCACCGGCUAACUACGUGCCAGCAGCCGCGGUAAUACGUAGGGUGCAAGCGUUGUCCGGAAUUAUUGGGCGUAAAGAGCUCGUAGGCGGUCUGUCACGUCGGAUGUGAAAAUCCAGGGCUCAACCCUGGACCUGCAUUCGAUACGGGCAGACUAGAAUUCGGUAGGGGAGACUGGAAUUCCUGGUGUAGCGGUGAAAUGCGCAGAUAUCAGGAGGAACACCGGUGGCGAAGGCGGGUCUCUGGGCCGAUAUUGACGCUGAGGAGCGAAAGCGUGGGGAGCGAACAGGAUUAGAAACCCUAGUAGUCC